rnacentral:rRNA from 1 species
AACGCACAUUGCGCCCUUUGGUAUUCCGAAGGGCAUGCCUGUUCGAGCGUCAUUCACAACCCUCAGGCCUCCUGGGCUUGGUAUUGGAGGCUUUGGUUAGGCGACCCUAACCCCUCUGAAAGACAACGACGGUGGCUUUACGGGACCCCCGGUACACUGAGCUCCCUAACGGGGCACGUAUCGGAUAAGUGGUCCUGUGGUCGUGGUCUCCAGGCGCGGUCUCUUUCCUCUUCUCGAGGCGAGAGAACCCCCUUUUUUCACUAGGUUGACCUCGGAUCAGGUAGGAAUACCCGCUGAACUUAA